rnacentral:rRNA from 1 species
UACGGAGGGGGCUAGCGUUGUUCGGAAUUACUGGGCGUAAAGCGCGCGUAGGCGGCUUUGUAAGUUAGAGGUGAAAGCCCGGAGCUCAACUCCGGAAUUGCCUUUAAGACUGCAUCGCUAGAAUCAUGGAGAGGUGAGUGGAAUUCCGAGUGUAGAGGUGAAAUUCGUAGAUAGUCGGGAGGAACACCAGUGGCGAAGGCGGACGAUCGUGGGAAGAUACUGACGCUGAGGUGCGAAAGCGUGGGGAGCAAACAGG